GUUCCAAUCCAGGGACAUCCUAUAAAAUUGGGACGAUAUAGAGAAGAUUAGCAUGGCCCUUGCGCAAGAAUGACACGCACAAAUCGAGAAAUGGUCUCAGAGCAG